rnacentral:rRNA from 1 species
UACGUAGGUGGCAAGCGUUGUCCGGAUUUACUGGGCGUAAAGGGCGUGCAGGCGGCUUGUUAAGUGCAGGGUGAAAGCUCCCGGCUCAACUGGGAGAGGUUCUUGCAUACUGGCGAGCUCGAGGGAGGCAGAGGAAAGUGGAAUUCCCGGUGUAGUGGUGAUAUGCGUAGAUAUCGGGAGGAACACCCGUGGCGAAAGCGGCUCUCUGGGACGGUACUGACGCUGAGACGCGAAAGCGUGGGGAGCGAACAGG